rnacentral:lncRNA from 1 species
GGACAUCAGAGAUGAGAAAAGCAGCAUUGAAGGAGGGGUGGGGUUGCUGGAGCAGAGGGCGAUGUUUGCAGGGGUGGGGCUUAUUGUAGUGAGGGUUUGUUACUGAAUCCCUUACUUGUCUUGCUGCUGUGGUAAAACGCCUCAGAAAAGGAACUUAAGAAAAGAAGAGCUUAUCCAGGUUCAUGGCUGGAGGGUACAGUCCAUCCGCAGCACUCAAGUCUGGAGGCCGGAGCCUGAGGCAGCCAACCUCAUCGACCUCAUCGCAUCCACAAUCAGGAAGCAAAGACAACAGGUGCUGCAGCUCAGCUUGCUGGCUCCUUUUCAUUCAGUCUUUGACCUCGGUCCAUGAGAUGGCACCACCCACUUUGGGGUGGAUCUCCCCCCCCUUUAAUCAGCGUAAUCUAGAUAAGCCCUCACAGCCGUGCAGAAAUCUGUUUUCCUGCAUGAGUCCUAAACCAAGAGUUACAGUCAAAAUGAACCAUCACAAUUACAUGUGUACACUCAGGGAGAGACAGAGGCUGUCCAAAAUGAGAAGUCUAAACCUGGAGGGCUCUUCAUGUAUCCUGUCCUGUCCUGAUGUCCCAUUCAGCCCUGGGACCACAUCCCCUCGAUGUGGCAGGUCCACAGACCUAUCAAAUCCUGCCUGCUUUCCUUUCUAGGCACAGGUCAUGACCCACCUUCCGUUAUUAUGUGUAGUUAGUGAGUUCUUGACAAUAAA